AAGAAAGGUUAAAAAAAAAAGAGCCACUCAAAUUCCCAGAGCUUCCAAGAGCAUAAACUUUCUUCUCUUGACCCGUUUCUACCAUUGGAGAUACAAAGAAGAGCAGAUACAACAUGAUUCUGCCCAGAGAGCAGUAACCAGUGUGAUCUUUGAAGAACAUAAAAGAUAAGUCACUUUCAUAUUUCGCAUCAUGACUGAGGUGCUGUGUUCAUAUGGAAUGGACCAAGCCUGCUGGCUGAUCUGCAAAGCUCUGUCAUGAUUUCCAACACCCCUCAUGAGACGUGAGCUUCAACUUCCUGCCAUAUCCUUCAUGGUUGUGCUUUGGGUCAUUGUUACACAUCUUUCACACUCAUUAAUGAGAACAAAGAUUUCCAUCUGUUUUGAUCACCUAAAAUGAUGUCUAGCCUAUGGAGUCUCUGGUGUUUUGU